UACGUAGGGUGCGAGCGUUGUCCGGAAUUACUGGGCGUAAAGGGUGCGUAGGUGGUUUGUUAAGUCUGCUGUGAAAUCCCCGGGCUCAACCUGGGAAUGGCAGUGGAUACUGGCAAGCUAGAGUGCGGUAGAGGGUAGUGGAAUUCCCGGUGUAGCAGUGAAAUGCGUAGAGAUCGGGAGGAACACCAGUGGCGAAGGCGGCUACCUGGACCAGCACUGACACUGAAGCACGAAAGCGUGGGGAGCAAACAGG
rnacentral:rRNA from 1 species